GCUACAAAUGUCUCUAAUGCUCAGUGUAGGCAUGAACGCAGUGCCUGGAGUUUGCUGUCCAAGUAAUCUUAACCCAAAUUGUAAUGUCAAAGCAAUUGUUGAACUAACUGUAACUUUAAUCCCAUAUCUAGCUUAAAUUAGAACCCUCAUGCUUCAAAAUAUCAUUGUUCUAUCCCUAGAACAAUUACUUACUGUAAUUUUCCUCUUAAUGAAUGUUUCAAGCCUGUUUAGGAAUAGACAGACGCUGUCGUAAUGGUUACAGCCCCACCCUCUCCUAAUGCCGACUGCACUGGCAACUCGGAAUGCAACUCUGAAGAUGCACUGAGACCCUGCAUAUCCAGACCCUACUCAGACACCGUAGUGCUGCUGCCCCCUCCCCUGUCUCUCCCGUUUCUCUGGCACCGUUUCCAAUCUAGGUCUGCCGUUGCAGGACUUGACAGCUGAAAGAAGGUAAGCCCUCGGACCGCUGCACGCUGGGACCAGCACGGAGCGGCUCUGGGACGGGUGCGGUCGAGCCCGUGGAUCGUGCCCACAGCUGCACUCGGUGAGUUUCUGCAGCGCUGCUGAGCACGCAGGCUUCCCCGACCGUGCCCCAGUCACCUAACUCCUUUGUGUCGUCGUCAUCUCACAGCCCCAGGCACUUUGCUGCGGUGCUGCUGGUAAGAGCAAUGUGAAAAGGGUGCAGCCUCUACAUGUACGGGUCAGAGCCCUCAUUCUUGUUUUGUGCUGAACAGGUGGCAGCGGGGAACUGCGGUGCUCCUGUUUGGUGCCGGAACUGCAUGGAGAUCCAUGUGGCUCCUCAUGAAGUCAGCAAGACAUGGAAAUCUGGAUUUCCUGGAAUGCCUCGGAACCCUCCUUGUCUGUCUGGUAAUUGGUCGCCCAUAGAGCUCUGCAGCUGUGGGACUCAACGGCUCAAAGAAGGCCGGCCCUCGGACCACUGCACUCCGGGACCGGCAUGGGAUGGCUGUGAUGGGUCCAGUAGAGAACAUGGAUUGUACCGAUGGGUGCACUCAGUGAGUUUUCCAGUGCUGCUGAGCACUUGGAAUUCCCUGCUUGUCCACCUGUGCCCUGAUUACCAAACUCCUUUGCGUUGUCAUGUCUCACAGCCCCAGGUGUCUUGCUGCGGUGCUACUGGUAAGAGCGAUGUGCA
rnacentral:lncRNA from 1 species